rnacentral:rRNA from 1 species
UACGUAGGGUGCGAGCGUUGUCCGGAAUUAUUGGGCGUAAAGGGCUCGUAGGCGGUUUGUCGCGUCGGGAGUGAAACUCAGGGCUUAACCCUGAGCCUGCUUCCGAUACGGGCAGACUAGAGGUAUGCAGGGGAGAAUGGAAUUCCUGGUGUAGCGGUGAAAUGCGCAGAUAUCAGGAGGAACACCGAUGGCGAAGGCAGAUCUCUGGGCCGUAACUGACGCUGAGGAGCGAAAGCAUGGGGAGCGAACAGG